GGACAUAAAUCACAAUGAUGAAUCAUGAAAUUACUGAGUCGUCACUAAAUCGUUCAUCAGAUUCGAUUCAAUUCAAUUCAACUUUAUUGUCAAAGACCCUGAUAUUUAUGCAGAAACAACAACAGCAGCUUCGCCUUUUUUCGAUGUCGGCUCCAACCCGAUUCCCCUUUACCUCGAUGAUGGAGCUUAUGAAACAAUCCAGCUGGAGCAGCCGUUCAAGUAUGGUGAAAAUGUCUACUCUCAACUGUAUG